CUCUUUUUGUUUGUAUAUAAAGUAUAACCUGCCCACUGGUUGAUUUGAAGGGCCGCGGUAACCUGACCGUGCAAAGGUAGCAUAAUCAUUAGUUUCUUAAUUAGAGGCUGGAAUGAAUGGUUGGACGAAAUAUUAACUAUCUUAUUAUUUUUAUUAGAAUUUAAUAAUUAAGUAAAAAAGCUUAAAUAUUAUUAUGGGACGAUAAGACCCUAUAGAGUUUAAUAUUAUAAUUUUUAGAUUAGUUUUGUUUUGUAAUAUUAAUUAUAAUUUUUUGUUGGGGUGAUGGGAAGAUAUAAAUAACUCUUUUUAUUGAUAAAUAUUAAUUUAUAGAUUUUUGAUCCAUUAAUAAUGAUUAUAAGACUAAAUUACCUUAGGGAUAACAGCGUAAUCUUUUUUGAGAGUUCUUAUCAAUAAAAGGGGUUGCGA
rnacentral:rRNA from 1 species